rnacentral:tRNA from 1 species
GGAGAUGUAGCUCAGUGGUAAAACAGCCCUGGGUUCAAUUUCCAGUAGAGAAAAAAAAAUUUUUUUCAUUACCA